rnacentral:lncRNA from 1 species
CGCAGCUGGGCCCUCAAGGCAGGGCCUGGGCGAGGUGCGGAUGGAGAUGCAUCCAGGUCUGGAGUUCUGGGAAAGUGAAGCCUCCAUCUUCUAGAAGAACAAGAGAAGGCACUUGCCACAAUGAUGGGAAGUCUAACAUAUGGAGUACAGAAUCUGCCGAGUAGGAAGAGAUCCCAGAUCAGUCCUGAUGGAUGGCAGUUGGAGUUUAGCAUGUCACGUAACAGCUCAGGGACAGUCUAUCAGAUGGCCUGA